GGACACUUGAAAGAAAGCCUACUAGCUCCCUCCCGCUGGGGGGAGAAGAGAGAGAGGGUGGGUGGGUGGGUGGAAGAAGAGAACAAAAACUCGAGGAGGGCAUAGAGAGAGAAAGCUGCGGCCGGCCUUUGCGUGGGGAAGCCAUCGCGGUUGCAGAGGAGGAGCACAAGUGCGAGAGGAAAAUGUUGCAGGAGGGAGGAGCAUGGAGGAGAGAGUGAAGGGUGGAGGCGAGCCACUGGAGGUGGAGCAGCAGGAGCGGGCAGCGAGGCUGGCCAAAAGGAGAUUUGGCGCCGUGGGCCCGCCGCCCUCCAGCUGAAGAGGAAGCGGCGAGGGAGGAGGUGGUGGUGGAGGAGGAUCUCCUCUCACGUCAAAGAGCAUAAAGGGAGGAGGAGAGGGGGAAGGGGGAGAGCUUCCAGGCCGCACAAAGCGAGGAAAAAAGCUUCAGAAAGAAAGAAAGCUUCAGAGGAAGAGCAAGGCAUCCAUCCAGUGAGUGGUGUCGUGAUAAAUAGCGGCUCCGAGCCGAGGGCAUCCGGUGCUCUCGCCACUACCACCGUGCAUUGCCUUAGCUUGUUUCGCUCUCCUCCACUAUUCUUGAAGUAGCUAGGUGUGUAGCAGCAGCUGGCCCGGUGUUGUGUUCGAGCUUGGAGGUGAUGGCAGUGCAAGAGCAGGAAGAGGAGGGCGGCGAUCAUGGCGCCACGGAGGAAGAAGAAGAAGAUGAGGGGAUGAUGAGGGUGUGGGGGAGCUGAUCUCUCCUUGUCCCGAGGUGUGCUGUCCACUUGUGGAGUAGUAAGAUAUUGGCACAAUAGGCUCAAUCACUUUCUCUUUUUUUUUGCCCUUCCUUCUUGGUUUGCUGUUCUUCCUCUAAUUCAUCAUUACAUACUCUUCCUCGUGUAAUCUUGUUCCCGUUUGCUGUUUGUUUCUCGGUGCCUUGCUUGCCCGGUUUAGAAUGGAAGGCGACGGUUGGCAAAAAAA